rnacentral:siRNA from 1 species
UCUUCACUGUUCUAUAUAAUGA